rnacentral:rRNA from 1 species
AAGUAAAAGUCGUAACAAGGUUUCCGUAGGUGAACCUGCGGAAGGAUCAUUAUCGUAUAACAGAGGUGUAAGGGCUGUCGCUGACCUUUAAAGGUUGUGCACGCCUAAGCCCUCUCACACAAUCCAUCUCACCCCUUUUGUGCAUCACCGCGUGGGUCCCCUUUGCCGGGAGGGCUUGCGUUUUUAUAUAAACCUUGACACAAUGCAGAAUGUUUUCUUUUUUUGCGAUUAUAUGCAAUAAAUACAACUUCAACAACGCGUAUGUGAAUUGCAGAAUUCAGUGAAUCAUCGAAUCUUUGAACGCACCUUGCGCCCCUUGGCAUUCCGAGGGGCACACCCGUUUGAGUGUCGUGAAAUUCUCAAAGCCCCCUUUCCUUUGGAAAAGGAGUUUUGGACUUGGAGGUUCAAUGCUUGCCUUUCAAAGCAAGCUCCUCUCAAAUAAAUUAGUGGGGUCCGCUUUGCUGAUCCUUAACGUGAUAAGAUGUUUUUAUGUUUUGGAUUUAGCACUGUCCCUUGGAUGCCUGCUCCUAACUGUCUCACGGACAAUGAUGGUGCUUCGGUCACUACCAUUUAUAUUGGUGGAAGGCUGGACCCACAAAAAUAAAACCUUGACCUCAAAUCGGGUGAGACUACCCGCUGAACUUAAGCAUAUCAAUUAAGCGGAGGAA